ACUACUAGGGGUGCCCUUUAAAGGGCUGAGAGAAAAACGAGUGUUUUUCAACCCUUCGGACCUGAUCCGGAUAAUUCCGGCGUAGGAAAGUAGGCU
rnacentral:ncRNA from 1 species